rnacentral:lncRNA from 1 species
CAGAGCCCCAUUCUGAUUCCUGCAGAGGUGACACUGAUGCUAUCGAUCCAGGGAGCACACUUGGAGUGUCCCUGCCCUGCCUUCUCGAUUGAGGUAGCACCUGGAAAAUGAUGAUAACAUCAGAACUUACCUGAUAGAGCUGUUGUCCCAGAUAAAUGAGAUAACAUGUGACAUUAUUAGGAUAGCUGCUGACAUUUGUAAAUUCUCAAUAAGUGGUAGCCACUGUUAUGGUGUGAGUCACCACGCACAUCACACAUACGAUGUGCUUCUUACAUUAUCAGAAGAUGAACAUGGUGAAUGGAAGCAGGACCGUUUGCUUUACAGGUCCUACUGCUCUGAACCUGUUUUCUCCCAUCAAGGCCCAGGUCUUAGCCAAAGAGAGGGAAGGAGAGGAGGUGGAGAGGCACAGAUAGCAGGUGUCUAUCCAUACAGGAAGUGGAGAGGAGUGCGCACCAGUCCAGUGCCCCACCAGGUCCCGUAACUCACCUAGCAGUGAAGAGCCUGCACUCACACCAUGGGAUCUGCACAUCACCACAGCCUCCAAGCCAUACAGCCUCCAGCAGCUGUUAAAUCUUGGCAAGGAGUGGGCAGCAACCCCUGCCCUUCAGCGCCUUGGGGUUAAAGAAGUGAACAUAUGGAAUACUUAGCACAGUGCUUGACACAGAGCAAAUGUGUCCCAUCAUUUAGGAUUGUUCAUCGCCCUCUCAUUUGACGGAUGGGAAGGUUCCCAUUAGAUACUGAUAUAAGGUCUUAGAUUAGAGGGGAAGGAAAAGCAGAGUUUAGUUAAACACCUUUCCCUUCACCACAUUGCCACCAGGUAGGCAACAAAUCAUCAAAUACUGUAUUAGUCUGUUCUCAUGCUGCUAUGAAGAAAUAACCAAGACUGGGUAAUUUAUAAAGGAAAGAGGUUGAAUUGACUCACAGUUCUGCAUGGCUCGGGGAGCCUCAGGAAACUUACAAUCAUGGCAGAAGCACCUCUUCACAGGGCGGCAGGAGAGAGAAUGAGAGCCAAGUGAAGGGGGAAACCCUUUAUAAAACCAUCAGAUCUCAUGUAAACUCACUUUCAUGAGAACAGCGUGGAGAUAACUGCACCCACGAUUCGAUUAUCUCCACCUGGUCCCUCCCACAACAUGUGGGGAUUAUGGGAACUACAAUUCAAGAUGAGAUUUGGGUGGGGACAGAGCCAAACCAUAUCACAUACCUUCUUUCAGUGAUAGGGAACUCACUGUCCACCCAUGAGUCCUGAAGAAACAGAAAAGAGCAAGAGAGAAGAGUAGAGCCUUUGAGGAAGGGACAUUCUCCAGAUGAGAGGAGGAUAAAGUGCUGUGUCAUUUUCUCCCCAAAGGAAGUGUAUUAAUCAGGAAUCACAGAGAAAAACUGUAGAAAAUCAACUGGGAUUGCUUUAAACUAAAAAGGACAUAUAUUGUCCCUCUUAACUAAAAAGUCCAAGAAAGGGCUUUCAGGCAAGGCUGGAUCCAGGGUCUCCAAGGAGGUCAUCAUUACAUUCAGCAUUACAGGAAUCUUAUGUUCACCAUCUGCUGAUUCUAUUAUCCUGUGUUGACUCCAUUUCAAGCUCAAUUCCCUCUUGUCAGAGCCAGCAGCUCCAAGUUCAUAUCCUAGCCAUUUAAUAAUCCCGAUUAAGGAAAGUCACCUUGCCCAGGGCAGUCAGCUGUCCUGCAAAUGAACCCGUAAUUGUUCUGGCUGAGGGGUCUUGGGUCACUUGCUGCCUCUGAGCCAAUCACUGUGUCCUGGAGAAUGAAGUGCAGCUUGGCCAGGCCUGCAUUCUGCACCCACACCCACAUCCAGAAGGUUGGUCAGCCUCUCACGCUCUAUACAAGCUGACAGAAAAAAAUAGUAUCUUAUUUCCAAAAGGUGGGAAUAAUGGAUGCUGGGCAGGAAAAAGCAAUGGAAAUCCACUGAGAGAGAAGAACAUUUAGGGUGAGAGUUGUUUCAACUGCACAGGGACCCUCUGCCCCUCCCUGUCCUCCCCCAGGAUGCCUGUCCUGCAGCACUGUGUUAAAAUGAAGACCACUGGCCAGGCAUGGUGGCUCACGCCUGUAAUCCCAGCACUCUGGGAGGCCGAGGCGGGUGGAUCACGAGGUCAGGAGAUCGAGAUCAUCCUGGUUAACACGGUGAAACCCCGUCUCUACUAAAAAUACAAAAAAGUAGCGGGGCGUGGUGGCAGGCACCUAUAGUCCCAGCUACUCGGGAG